rnacentral:rRNA from 1 species
AAGUAGCUGCUAUUUAAGUACUAAGGUAGCACAAUAAAUUGCCUCCUAAUUAGAGGAUAGUAUGAAAGAGCCAACGAAUUAAUCAUUAUCUUUCAAUAAUAUAAUGUAAACUUACUCAAAAGUAAAAAGGCUUUUAAAAUAAAGAAGGACGACAAGACCCUAUCGAACUUUAACUAAAAGUUAGGUUGGGGAAGCCUAAUAAAAAAACCUUAUUAAAAAUCAAUAAUAUAAGAACCGUAUAAUAUUAAUAAAGAACAAGUUACCGUAGGGAUAACAGCACAAUUCUGUUACAGAGUACCAAUCAAAAACAGAAGCUUGUGACCUCGAUGUUGAAUUAACACACAAUAAGAAGCAAUAUUCUUAAUACCAAUGUAGGUCUGUUCGACCAUAAAAAAGUUACAUGAUUUGAGUUCAGACCGGCGUAAGCCAGGUCGGUUUCUAUCCUCUUAAACCCUACUUUAGUACGAAAGGACCAAGUAAGCUUUACUCAACUAGCAAACAAAAAUGCAUUAGAAUUAGAAUCUAAAAAUUCCCACAUAACCAUUAUUCUAACAGCCUUAAUAUUUAUUUCUAUCACACUAGCUACCGCAUUUAUUACACUGAUAGAACGCAGGAUACUAAGAUACAUUCAAACACGAAAAGGACCAAACAAAGUAGGCCCCAUAGGAUUAUUACAACCAUUCAGAGAUGCUAUAAAACUAAUCCACAAGAAUAAUAUAAAACUAAUCAAUACCAACUCAUUAUCCUAUAUAAUAUCACCCUUAUUAACAUUUACAAUUACCUUAAUACUAAUAACCACUAUAUCAUGAGACAUAUUUUCUUCAUUCGACCAAUCAUUUUCAAUAUUAUCAUUCAUGAUACUAUCAAGAUUAUUAAUCUACC